CCUACGGGGGGCUGCAGUGGGGAAUAUUGGACAAUGGGCGAAAGCCUGAUCCAGCCAUGCCGCGUGUGUGAAGAAGGCCUUCGGGUUGUAAAGCACUUUCAGUGGGGAAGAAAGCCUUGGGGCUAAUACCCUCGAGGAAGGACAUCACCCACAGAAGAAGCACCGGCUAACUCCGUGCCAGCAGCCGCGGUAAUACGGAGGGUGCGAGCGUUAAUCGGAAUUACUGGGCGUAAAGCGCGCGUAGGCGGUCUGAUAAGCCGGUUGUGAAAGCCCCGGGCUCAACCUGGGAACGGCAUCCGGAACGGUCAGGCUAGAGUGCGGGAGAGGAAGGUAGAAUUCCCGGUGUAGCGGUGAAAUGCGUAGAGAUCGGGAGGAAUACCAGUGGCGAAGGCGGCCUUCUGGACUGACACUGACGCUGAGGUGCGAAAGCGUGGGUAGCAAACAGGAUUAGAUACCCGGGUAGUC
rnacentral:rRNA from 1 species